rnacentral:piRNA from 1 species
UGUAGGCGGCGGUAUUACUAU